rnacentral:rRNA from 1 species
UACGUAGGGGGCAAGCGUUGUCCGGAUUUAUUGGGCGUAAAGAGCGUGUAGGCGGCUUCACAGGUCCGCUGUGAAAACUCGAGGCUCAACCUCGAGAUGUCGGUGGAAACCGUGUGGCUAGAGUCCGGAAGGGGAGAGUGGAAUUCCCGGUGUAGCGGUGAAAUGCGCAGAUAUCGGGAAGAACACCCGUGGCGAAGGCGGCUCUCUGGGACGGUACUGACGCUGAGACGCGAAAGCGUGGGGAGCGAACAGG